CAGCCUAUACUGGUUGAAUGCACGAAUGCCAGGAAGGCACGAAAACGGAGGGAACUACAAAAAUGAAAGAUACAGAGAUUCAACCGCUCCAGUCUUUGUUGAGGGUAAACAUUUGGACACAUUUGGGUUUUUACCAAAUACCCGGAAAGAGAGUUUGACGUGAGCUUCACCGUGUUCAACGUUCGCAAAAUGAAGACAGCACUUCCGGAGCGCAGCUAAUGCAGGAAGCUAAGCUACGUCGGAGCUAAGACACUCCAGAAUGUCUGCCAUUCUAAGGGGAAAGAUGGAGUUGAAGAAAACACAACAGGAGGACUUGCAAACUCCAACACAGAAAUGAUUCAAACUUUAGACCUUCUUGUUUUGAGUUUACUGCGCUCACCACUAUUCCACCAUGCAGCCACUGUCUUCAUCAUAGUCAUGCAAUGCAGAGACUGGACUCAGAUGAGCAAACGACGCUGUCGACACAAUCAGCCCAGAGACAGAGAGAAGACCGUGUGUCAUCAGAGGAGGACUUGAGAACCAGCAGGGAAUGAAAGGCACACAGGAAAACCAAGGGAAGGUGUGGAACCGAAAGGAAAUGAGAAGUAAAUACAAAAACACAAGAAUAAACCAGGAAACUAAAUAUGAAGGAAUGGACUUAAGACCUUUGUACCUGUUACAAAGGAACCCAAACAUAAGUAAAAUGGAAGUGAUUUAAAAACAAAUGACACUAAACUGAAGCACUUCAGGAUUGUGACAAUAGUCAGACCUGGUUAGUGAAACUGAACCAAAAUACGGCUCCUCACAAUCAACUGUUCAUUGACGGGGGGAAUGACGUUUUCAGAGAUCCAGACUGGUAGUGUCUUCCUUUACUAAAUGUAGUCAUCAUUUUGAGAACUGCUUUCUGUUUUCACUGGUGCUCUUCACUCAGAUAUGAGAACUGACACAAGAGGAAAGCUGAAAUGAAGCCGAGACUUUUAAUCAAACCAGAAGUUUGCACCUUUCUCUUCAUUCGUUUCACAUUCUCUGAGCCUACACAAACACGACACACGUCGGCUUUCGUCGC